AGCAGGGAAUAUUGCCCAAUGGACGGAAGUCUGAGGCAGCGACGCCGCGUGAGUGAAGACGGCCUUCGGGUUGUAAAGCUCUUUUCUGGGGGAAGAGGCAGGACGGUACCUCAGGAAUAAGCGUCGGCUAACUACGUGCCAGCAGCCGCGGUAAUACGUAGGACGCAAGCGUUAUCCGGAUUUACUGGGCGUAAAGCGCCUGUAGGCGGUAGAGCAAGUCGGUUGUGAAAGCCCCAGGCUUAACCUGGGGAGGCCAAGCGAUACUGCUCGACUUGAGGACGGCAGAGGGGAAUGGAAUUCCCGGUGUAGCGGUAAAAUGCGCAGAUAUCGGGAGGAACACCAGUGGCGAAGGCGGUUCCCUGGGCCGUACCUGACGCUCAGAGGCGAAAGCUAGGGGAGCGAACAGGAUUAGAGACCCUGGUAGUCCUAGCCCUAAACGAUGGAUGCUAGGUGUGGGGCCGACAGGCUCUGUGCCGCAGCUAACGCGCUAAGCAUCCCGCCUGGGGACUACGGCCGCAAGGCUAAAACUCAAACGAAUUGACGGGGCCCCGCACAAGCAACGGAGCGUGUGGUUUAAUUCGAUGCUACACGAAGAACCUUACCUGGGUUUGACAUGGAGGUGGUAGGGAGCCGAAAGGUGACCGACUCUUCGGAGAGCCUUCACAGGUGCUGCAUGGCUGUCGUCAGCUCGUGCCGUGAGGUGUCGGGUUAAGUCCCGUAACGAGCGCAACCCUUGCCCACAGUUACAAGUGUCUGUGGGGACUGCCGGCGACAAGCCGGAGGAAGGUGGGGAUGACGUCAAGUCAGCAUGGCCUUUAUGUCCAGGGCUACACACACGCUACAAUGGCCGGUACAAUGGGCAGCCAACCCGCGAGGGGGAGCGAAUCCCGCCAAAGCCGGUCUCAGUUCGGAUUGCAGGCUGCAACCCGCCUGCAUGAAGUUGGAGUUGCUAGUAACCGCGCGUCAGCGAUAGUGCGGUGAAUACGUUCCCGGGGCUUGUACACACCGCCCGUCACGUCAUGGGAGUCGGUAACGCCUGAAGCCAAAGGCCUAACCUAACGGGGGGCAUUGUCAAAGGCGGGGCUGGCGACUGGGACG
rnacentral:rRNA from 1 species